rnacentral:lncRNA from 1 species
CAGGAAUGUGACACGACGUCUCAAACUUCUGGAAACAGAAAAGGACAAGAAACAGAGCCAAGCUACAAACCUCAAGGAUUCUCUGUGUCCUCUGGACAGAUGCUGCAAUGAUCUGCAAGGAUUGUUUAACUCAAGUUCUUUGAAAAGCAGCUCUGUGUUGGCUCACUGGAUUUUACCGACAAGGCAGAAAAUGAAUGUGGAGCAAUGUUCACACGAACUUGAGACAGGAGCGUCUAAGAACAAGCAUAACAAAGGCAUGUCCGGAUUGAAGCAAUAUAGUGGGAUAGAGAAAUCCGAGUUUGAAAUAAUACAAGGGACUGGAAAACAGAACCUGCAAGCAAAGAGCUCCAAAAAUAAGCGUGACUAAAAGGAUCCGCUACAGAAGGGAAGCUGCGCGGGAAAGAUGCGCAGUGGGAGGAGGUCACUCAAGGCUCUGUGCUUGCUAGUGAUAUGCAGAAGAAAAUUCCCAGAGAAAGGAGAAAGGGAAGACCCAAGGCUUAGUGACAUCGCAGCUGAGAAUCAAACCAUCCUCCUGCAUCUCCUCCGCUGUUGGAAGGAAGCCUUGGAGAAAGGAAACUAUCCAUAGGUUUUCCAGUUUUUCACCCACAGUACCCGGAUGAAUUUAAGACUUUUUUUUUAAUCAUUUGCUUAAGUUUUCUUAUACAUGUGUCUCCUCUAUACAUAUCUGUAGAAUUAACUCUUAUGGGUGGAUUAGUUGACUCCAAAGCUAUCUGCAUCUUAAUUUUUAUAGACAUUGCUGUUUAAAGGAUUUUUACCAAAUCAUAUUCCUACAGUAUAGCAAAGUGCUCAUAUUUUAAUAAAUAUUUUAAAAGUGAUUUCUGCAAUUUGCAUUACAAGUCAUCCCUUUUUGAAUCUAAGUUGAGUUUUUAUGGUCAAUUCUCUAAUGCAAAGACACUCCUAUGUUCAGACUGUCUUUUAUUUCCUUCCUGAGUAUGGUUUUCUCAUAUUUUCUACUUAUUUUUCUAUUGGAUUUUUAAAGUGUAUUUGUGUGUGUGAGGUCUUUUAAUGCUUUAUUAACAUAUGUUAAGUAUACUUAAUGAUGGGCUUCAUGUGACAUUUUUGUAGCUAAUAUACUGUGACCAUGUCUACUCCCAACCCUCUCACCCCUUUGCACUCCUGCUGAUCUCCUCGCUCCAAUCUGAUCUUUCUGCUGUCUUCAU